rnacentral:tRNA from 1 species
GGAGACGUGCCCGAGCUUAAAGGACUACCUUGAUAGAGUAGACACGGGGACAAUCACCCCCAUCUCCC